UUUAUUUAUUCAUGAGAGACACACACAGAGAGAGAAAGAGAGGCAGAGACACAGGCAGAGGGAGAAGCAGGCUCCAUGCAGGCAGCCUGAUGUGGGACUUGACCCUGGGGUCUCCAGGAUCACGCCCUGGGCCAAAGGCAAGCACUAAACCGCUGAGUCACCCGGGGAUCUCCUACAUUAAGCAUUAUUAACUACAACAGGUAACUGGAGCAAUGGGAGGGUAUGGCGGCUAAUAAGAAGAGAAUUCUAAAGAAUAUUAAGAAUAGCAGAUCUGAGGAGCAGCCACUACCCUAGGACAGGUAUAGAAGGCCCAGGAAGAGUCCCUCUUCUCAACUCCACCCCCCAUCAGCUGAGAUCUAGACCUCACCGAAGGGGUGUGGCCAUGGCCCACUGCUGUCAGGAUGGUCCCUGUGAUGCUAGACCGCUGGAACUUGUUGGUGUUCCCUCUCUAGGUGCUGGGGAAAGAUAGGUGUCUCAGGAGAGUCACUCCAUGACAAAAGUGCCAGGAGGUGGGGGUGGGGGAGAGAGUGAGGUGCUGCUGGCCAAUGGAUGCUUCUGGCCACCACAUACUGGAGGAGCUGGCCCUGGAAGAAUGACCCAUCUGCAGGAGUCUGGCCAAGGAGCAAAGGAGAACCAGGCAGAAAGACUGCCCCUGCAAAGUCUCUCCAUCGCUCCCUAUUGACAAAAGUUGAUAUAUAUGCCAGUGUCAAAGGAAAUGUUUUUAGAGUAGGCAAUUAAGAAUGAAUUUGUAGCAAGAGACAAUAAAUUGUUAACUGAUACAGAUGACAAAUAAAACUACAAGACACAAUGAAAUCAUCCAGGGAAUAAGUAUGGACAUAGAAGAGAAAAGCAAAGGUUGAGUCCUGUGGGCUGACAUUUAAACACGUCAGGUAGGAGUGGAAGAACCUUUAGCAAAGGCUACUGAGAAGGAGCAGCCAUGAUUGUGGGAGGUGUGCUGGGAACAACGAGAAUCUAAGAAUAGGGGGAGAGGAACUGGAGAACAUAUUGACAAUUCUUUUGUGAAAUUUUGCUACAGAAGGGCAUGGAGAAAAGGUGUAUUAUCUGUUACAGGAAAUGGGUCUAGAGGUUUUGUUCAAUUUUUGUUUUGAAGAUGAGAGAAAUAACUGCACAUUGUAGGAUGACGGGAAUAGCUCCGUAAAAGCUGAUGAUGCUGGGGAGAGGACAGACUGGGCGGAGCGACACCCUGGAGAUGACGGGAUCUUGCACCCAAGUGCAGGAUAUCUUUAGGGGGACAUAGUGGUAGUUCACCUACAGUAACAGGCAGGCAGCAGAGGGGGGCAUGCGUGGAUGUGGUGGUGGAAGUCUGUGACAGUGGGAGUCUCACUUCCAUUUUUUUUUUUUUAGUGAAGUCAGAGCAAGGAAGGGAGAGGUGGUGGGAAAGACUGAAGAGAGAAGAGGAGAUGAGAAAAACUCAUUUGGAAGAAGACAUAGACCAGGCAAAGUUAGCAUUAUUGAGCUGAGGGUGGUCAGCAUGGCUCUGGGUUUUCCUCCAGCCAUGUUUAGUUUCAUAUGUCGUAGCAAGGAGUAGAUGGAGAAUUGGGCUUACCCUGGGCUCUUAUUUUACCAAGCAGACAUGAUGAAGUGAUGGAGGUGAGGCAGCAUACAAGAGGCUGACGGUAAUGAGUGCCCUUGGAGUUUAAACUAGCUUACUAGAGAAGAAGGGUAAGUCACCAAGGGAGGAAGGAGUAAGAUCUGGGUCAGAGGUACCGGCUGGAUUAGUUGGUUCCAGGGCAUUAGAGGGACUAACCUUCUAAGACAGGAAGUGGCAGUCAGGGUGGGAAGCUUUGGGGGUUGCAAUCCUUGGACCUGGCAAGGUCUAGGGUUUAUCACGGGGGUGAGGGGCUGACAGGACAGAGGACAAGCGUGGGACUCAUGGAGCCAAGAGGAUGUUGGGAAGAUCGACUUACACUGAAAGCUCCAAGAAGAUACUGUCCGAGGGAAUUACAAAAUUACACACUCUUCGCGGAUGCGGGAGGUGUGUGUCCGGUAGGGCAGCCUCCCUAGCACUGCCGUGAGCGCCUGUGGGAUGCUGACGGCGAGAACAAGCUCACUGUGAAAGGCGCGAAGCACCGAGGUCUCAACUACCAGAAUGAGCCUAGUUUCGUGGGCGGCGGGGGCGGGCGGGGGCGGGGCUGAGUCUCAGGAGCACUGGUGGGUUCAUACUGAAAAGAAAACCUAAAAAAAAAAAAAAAAAAAAAAAAAAA
rnacentral:lncRNA from 1 species